UACGUAGGGGGCAAGCGUUGUCCGGAUUUAUUGGGCGUAAAGAGCGUGUAGGCGGUUCGGUAAGUCUGUCGUGAAAUCCUGAGGCUCAACCUCGGGCGUGCGAUGGAUACUGCCGGGCUAGAGGAUGGUAGAGGCGAGUGGAAUUCCCGGUGUAGCGGUGAAAUGCGCAGAUAUCGGGAGGAACACCAAUGGCGAAGGCAGCUCGCUGGGACGUUACUGACGCUGAGACGCGAAAGCGUGGGGAGCAAACAGG
rnacentral:rRNA from 1 species